GGAUGAGACGGGCGCGCUCUCAGUUCUGUGAUGGCCGCUGGGCGGUUUUAACUUGUCUCCAGUAUCUACAUCUUUGCCUGGCCAGCAAUAUGACUUCUCCAGUGUGAAUUCUUUUAAGAGGAUUGCUUCACUAAACUUCUAUAAAGGUUUAGAACUUGUCUCCAGAAUGCAUUUCCUUGCUUGGCUUGCAGUAAGACUUCUCUCCAGUGUGAACUCUCUUGUACCCGAGUGACUCUUAAAUUUCCUUGACUCGUGUAAAUGUUGUUUUGGGG